rnacentral:ncRNA from 1 species
CUAUAUUUCCUGUGCAGCCGCAAAAUCGGCUGCCGGGAUUGGUCUCCCGGAUG